rnacentral:rRNA from 1 species
CAGCAGCCACGGGAAUACGUAGGGUGCGAGCGUUAAUCGGAAUUACUGGGCGUAAAGCGCGCGCAGGCGGUUUUGUAAGACAGGCGUGAAAUCCCCGGGCUCAACCUGGGAAUGGCGCUUGUGACUGCAAAGCUAGAGUGCGGCAGAGGGGGAUGGAAUUCCGCGUGUAGCAGUGAAAUGCGUAGAUAUGCGGAGGAGCACCGAUGGCGAAGGCAAUCACCUGGGCCUGCACUGACGCUCAUGCACGAAAGCGUGGGGAGCAAACAGGAUUAGAUACCCGGGUAGUCCCUGUCUCUUAUAC